UUUUGAGUGAGGAACAGAAGGUUAAAAUUAAUAUACCACUGCAAAUUGAACGCUUCUGUUCCUCAAUCAAAACCUUCCUUUUUGACUUUUUUGGAAAAGGAAAGAAAAAGGUACAGUGGUCUCUUCAUUUUUUCCAGAGCUGUUAGUAUUUACUCUUUCUGAACAGUAAAGUGUCUUUCCGUUGGUUAGUGGGUUGGGAAAUGACCGGUAACCAGUGCAUAAGAGACAAGCCUUGGAGUGAGGCCAACUCCUUGUCGUGCAACAGUCAUCCAUGAGGAACCUCAGGGACUGUUAUCUAUUAUGGACGUCAUUGCUGCACAGGAGACAAAUCGUGCCACAAUUACAGUGAUUGCACUUGGUAGACUGGACAGUAUCUGCACUACACUUCUCAGGGCAAAUUAUUUAUCAACCUGACUGAACUUACGUAGAGCCCAGUCGAAGCUUUAGAGGCGAUGUACACUAUGCUCAUAACUGCUAAGAAAAGGGAUUUUAAUACUUUAGAACAAUUGUCUUACUCAAGACAACAGAAAUGGAUGUACACUCCAGGCCUUAUAGGCUUGGUCCUUGACAUUUCGUCUGACCCCGCCUUCAGAAUUACCUCCAAAAGGGACACUUUAUGGCAGGCUUCCAUACCAGAGGCAGACAGGUUCUUCGUGUAGCAUGCGAAUGGCUCCAUUGGGGAUACGAGGACUCUUUGUUAGAUGUGGUGGUUAUAACUACCCUGAUGUUGUCAGUCUCAUGCUGUGAAGUGAUGCUGUUGGCUGGUGGUUGCUCCAGGAUCGAUUCGCUACCAGAUAUGUCCAAAUACUAAUUCAAGUGAAAUCUUGAAUACGUACUUCAAAUUAUUUUAUUUUUUAUUGGAUGUAUGCAGGUCUUCCAACCUCACGGUUAAAGGAGUGUACAUUUCACUCAUGUUUACAGUGUUUGUACAUGAAUCGAUUACAGGUCACCUGGUUCAGCCCUCAGCAUCUUACAGAACCAGCAUUUUACAGUAUAAACACCAAAAUACUGAAUUUAUUUCGAAACAUUGCUAAUGCGGGCACACUUUAUCCCAAAAACCCUCAGGCAUGUUUGAGAGGCUGUGUGAUGUCAUUAGUCAUCUAGAAAGGACCCAAGUCUCCUUUAAUGGCUCAGUUAAUGUGCCCACACUCAGAAUUUCAGUUGAUGUGAUGGUGCUGCAAGAGGUGGACAACAUAUAGGGACAGAACACAGGAAUCUGCGUUAAGCUCACCAGAUAUACAGUGAACGAAUGAACGAAUGGACAUAUAGCUCGGGAAAAAAUGAAGAGACCACUGC
ensembl:lncRNA